UUUCAUUGCGUAUCCUCCCUUUGGAUGUGCAUUGCGGGUCGCAAGACCCAAGUCUCGGCUGGCGGGCUCCGACCAAAGAUCACGCCAGCCGAGAUAU
rnacentral:sRNA from 1 species